GGAAAAUUCCAUGUAGAUGGAUGUUAGGGACAUCAACACACCUGAGGCAGACUGAUGGGAUAUUGAAACAAGGGGUUUAAAUGGGGAAAAGAGUGGAGUCCUACCCUAGAUGAAUAACUCAAAGUCUUCUUCAGAGGGUUCACAGACAGGCUGUCCACACAUCAUAUGCAAGAAAGAAUUAUAUUCCAAGUUUACAACCCUCACUACUGGGAACCCAACCUCCUAUGAUUUAGAUUGAUUGGGCUAAUGUGAAACUAUCUUAAGGAUUCAACCACUCUUGCUAUUACGGCUAUCUGCUACUAAUGCUGUAUAUAAAGGAGAUGUGUGAUUGCUGAGGCUGAUCUAUCAACAUAUCUGCAGGAAGUUCUUCAUUUAAUAUCUUAUUGAUUUUGUGAAUGAAAGUGUUUAAAUUCCCUCUUCAGAUUGCUUAUUGCUAGUUUACAGAAAUAAUUUUUUAUACAGAUUCUAAAUCAUAAACAUUCGACUUGUUUCAGGUUUUAUUUUUAUUGUGAAAUUCCUUUGGAUUUUUUAUAUUAUCAUACAGUUUGCAAAUAAAGACAGGGUUACUUCUAAGA